GGCUGAAUUCAGCUUUCGUAUAUCUGUCUGGUGCUCAUUGUUGCCACGUGCUCUGCCACACAAAGGGGGUUAAUUGAGUAGUUAUAUCUUCUGGGGAAGCACUCUUACGGGAGGCAGCGCGGCUCGCCCUGCAUUUUAAGGCCAAUCCCUUUACCUGCAUAUUUGCCUUUUGUUCUGAAUCCCUUGGUGAAUGCCGGGCUGACUUAUAAUACAUUGCUUUGUCAGUUUUACAUCAUUCUUGCUCGUAUUAAUUUUCUUUCUUGUGUUCUAAUGCCCUUCUUUGUUGAUAAUAGUAGGCUUUGGGCAGGCUAUGUGCUGUUAAUUUUUUCGGUAAUUUCAGUUUAUAACUCAGAUUCGAAAGAGUAGCCAGGGUAGUGAUGAUGCCCAAGAGUUUGAUACAUUUAGACACUGAUAUAUUCCUAACUACUUGUAGUUAGAUAGGUUAAUAAAGCUCGAAUUGGCAUGGAUAUUUCCCCUUAUUUGGGGUUUUUUCCCGGCUUGCUCUUACCAAUUCAGAAGGUUAGGUGGUUAGUAGAGGUAAUGUUGGCAGCUUAACAAUUCUUUUCAUACUUAUUUUCGAAAUAAUUCGCGGCUUUGAAAUUAGUUAGAGGGCAACAAUUGUAGAGACUAUUGAUCAUAAUUUUAGCUUCUAUGAAGAUGACUAAUUGGAUUUCAUUUUGAUAGGCCCAUCCUAGGUAAUCACGUUUACAAGUUUUGGCACUUAUAUUAUCAUAAAUAAAAUAUAUUUGCCGUCUAACACCCACAAAUGGAACACAUUGUAAAAAUUUUGUGUACAGAUUUAGUGAUUACAAAAUUAAUAAGCUGUAGCAUAUGGGUAUUACAAAUGCAAAUAAUAAAUACUAUGAUGAACUUUUCCACGUAGUUAACUAUAAUUUCAUCAUUAUUUAAUAGUAGAUUUGAUUUUCUGAGUCCAUUAAAUUUUCAAGCUUAUUUUGGGCUCAUUAUUUCUAACCAACUAUUAAAAAGAGUUUACACACACGUUUAGUGAUUACUGUUUGCUUAAUAGAGAGACUGCUAACACCUAGCCACCCGUAUCUAUUACUUGAUGAAAUAGAGCUUUUUGACUGGUUAUUUGGCUUGAAUAGAUAUGGUGCAAUCUAUCCAUUAUAGAUAGAUAUGGAAAUAAAAGGUAUAUGGUUUAGAUCAGAUUACUAAUACAUAGAUUAUUGCUUAGUCAGGUCGGGUCAGGUCACUAACAUGUACGAGAAAUGUUCAUUUAGCUUGGUUUUCAAACGUUAUGCCUGCACCUGGACACUCACUCACGCAUCCAUCAGUGGUUCACAGCCUAUUUUUUCCUUGCGUCAAUUGCGUCGGGGAUUUUGAUUUUAUUACAGUAUGGCCCCGGUAUUAACUGAGGCCUUGAUAGUAAGGUCAUAUUACAUCCAAACUUCUAAGCAACAGCUACAUGACUGAAAGUAACACUGGUCGAGUCAUUACCUCACCCAAAAUGGUUGGCUUAUGUUCAGCCUUAUGGGAACUUCCACUAAACAAAAAUCAGAAGGAACAGCUAGAAGAACAAAUGGAAUCAAAAUCCAGCGUCACAGAUACAGUUCAGCUGGACAAUGCAUUAACAUAUCCGAAAUCAUUUUAAAUAUUAUAGAGCAGAUACAUCUGCCACUGGCACCUAUUUACCGAUAAACACUGGUUCAGAGACUGAUUUCACUUUGGUUGCAGGUUCUGCUGAGAUCUGUCACAUUUCAGGUUGUCAGCGUUUAUCAGCCUUGCGGAUCUAUGGAACAACAACCAAGAAAAAGAGGUCGGCCAAGGCUCCUUGUCACCGCUGAUGUGGUGGAGCGGCGAAAGAAUUCCAAGCGGUUGCAAAAUGCCAAGCGUGCUUACAAGCGGGGUAUGUACACUGCUAAGCUGUUGUUUUGGGCUAGGAUCAACUACUCCCCCUUCCCUGUUCAGAGAGCCAGUCCCCAAGCCUUUAAAACCGUGAGGCACCCGUUUACGUGGACUUUUAAUUUUUGUGGUUGCUGGAGAGUGUUUGGUAUUCUUACGAAUUGCUUUCCGAGCCUCUGCAGUUGUGUGUGCCCGAGUCCAGGGAGCGUGCGUGCGGAAAUCUGGUUUAAGAUCUGUGUGCGUGUUUUUACCUCGGCUGUUCCACUAACUAGCUUUACUCUUAUCUUCCUGUUUAGGAGAGGAGCUAUCGGAAGGGGGAUGUUCCGCCCACUCUCCAAACAUCGCUGGAUCUCCUACUGGUGGCCAAUCCAGUUCAGAUGCCUGUCCAGCGUUAGAUGAUGCUCGUCCGGCGGGC
rnacentral:lncRNA from 1 species